rnacentral:rRNA from 1 species
GAGUUUGAUCCUGGCUCAGGAUGAACGCUGGCGGCGUGCCUAAUACAUGCAAGUCGAGCGAACGGACGAGAAGCUUGCUUCUCUGAUGUUAGCGGCGGACGGGUGAGUAACACGUGGAUAACCUACCUAUAAGACUGGGAUAACUUCGGGAAACCGGAGCUAAUACCGGAUAAUAUUUUGAACCGCAUGGUUCAAAAGUGAAAGACGGUCUUGCUGUCACUUAUAGAUGGAUCCGCGCUGCAUUAGCUAGUUGGUAAGGUAACGGCUUACCAAGGCAACGAUGCAUAGCCGACCUGAGAGGGUGAUCGGCCACACUGGAACUGAGACACGGUCCAGACUCCUACGGGAGGCAGCAGUAGGGAAUCUUCCGCAAUGGGCGAAAGCCUGACGGAGCAACGCCGCGUGAGUGAUGAAGGUCUUCGGAUCGUAAAACUCUGUUAUUAGGGAAGAACAUAUGUGUAAGUAACUGUGCACAUCUUGACGGUACCUAAUCAGAAAGCCACGGCUAACUACGUGCCAGCAGCCGCGGUAAUACGUAGGUGGCAAGCGUUAUCCGGAAUUAUUGGGCGUAAAGCGCGCGUAGGCGGUUUUUUAAGUCUGAUGUGAAAGCCCACGGCUCAACCGUGGAGGGUCAUUGGAAACUGGAAAACUUGAGUGCAGAAGAGGAAAGUGGAAUUCCAUGUGUAGCGGUGAAAUGCGCAGAGAUAUGGAGGAACACCAGUGGCGAAGGCGACUUUCUGGUCUGUAACUGACGCUGAUGUGCGAAAGCGUGGGGAUCAAACAGGAUUAGAUACCCUGGUAGUCCACGCCGUAAACGAUGAGUGCUAAGUGUUAGGGGGUUUCCGCCCCUUAGUGCUGCAGCUAACGCAUUAAGCACUCCGCCUGGGGAGUACGACCGCAAGGUUGAAACUCAAAGGAAUUGACGGGGACCCGCACAAGCGGUGGAGCAUGUGGUUUAAUUCGAAGCAACGCGAAGAACCUUACCAAAUCUUGACAUCCUUUGACAACUCUAGAGAUAGAGCCUUCCCCUUCGGGGGACAAAGUGACAGGUGGUGCAUGGUUGUCGUCAGCUCGUGUCGUGAGAUGUUGGGUUAAGUCCCGCAACGAGCGCAACCCUUAAGCUUAGUUGCCAUCAUUAAGUUGGGCACUCUAAGUUGACUGCCGGUGACAAACCGGAGGAAGGUGGGGAUGACGUCAAAUCAUCAUGCCCCUUAUGAUUUGGGCUACACACGUGCUACAAUGGACAAUACAAAGGGCAGCGAAACCGCGAGGUCAAGCAAAUCCCAUAAAGUUGUUCUCAGUUCGGAUUGUAGUCUGCAACUCGACUACAUGAAGCUGGAAUCGCUAGUAAUCGUAGAUCAGCAUGCUACGGUGAAUACGUUCCCGGGUCUUGUACACACCGCCCGUCACACCACGAGAGUUUGUAACACCCGAAGCCGGUGGAGUAACCUUUUAGGAGCUAGCCGUCGAAGGUGGGACAAAUGAUUGGGGUGAAGUCGUAACAAGGUAGCCGUAUCGGAAGGUGCGGCUGGAUCACCUCCUUUCU